rnacentral:rRNA from 1 species
UACGUAGGUGACAAGCGUUGUUCGGAAUUACUGGGCGUAAAGGGCGCGUAGGCGGUCUUUUAAGUUCCGUGUGAAAUCCCUCGGCUCAACUGGGGAACUGCACGGGAAACUGGAAGGCUUGAGUUCGGGAGAGGGAAGCGGAAUUCCGGGUGUAGCGGUGAAAUGCGUAGAUAUCCGGAGGAACACCGGUGGCGAAGGCGGCUUCCUGGACCGACACUGACGCUGAGGAGCGAAAGCGUGGGGAGCGAACAGG